UACGAAGGGGGCUAGCGUUGCUCGGAAUCACUGGGCGUAAAGCGCACGUAGGCGGCUUCUUAAGUCAGGGGUGAAAUCCUGGAGCUCAACUCCAGAACUGCCUUUGAUACUGAGGAGCUUGAGUCCGGGAGAGGUGAGUGGAACUGCGAGUGUAGAGGUGAAAUUCGUAGAUAUUCGGAAGAACACCAGUGGCGAAGGCGGCUCACUGGUCCGGUACUGACGCUGAUGUGCGAAAGCGUGGGGAGCAAACAGG
rnacentral:rRNA from 1 species